ACGUAUGGUGCAAGCGUUAUCCGGAUUUACUGGGUGUAAAGGGAGCGCAGGCGGUGCGGCAAGUCUGAUGUGAAAGCCCGGGGCUCAACCCCGGUACUGCAUUGGAAACUGUCGUACUAGAGUGUCGGAGGGGUAAGCGGAAUUCCUAGUGUAGCGGUGAAAUGCGUAGAUAUUAGGAGGAACACCAGUGGCGGAGGCGGCUUACUGGACGAUAACUGACGCUGAGGCUCGAAAGCGUGGGGAGCAAACAG
rnacentral:rRNA from 1 species